rnacentral:rRNA from 1 species
UACGGGAGGCAGCAGUGGGGAAUAUUGCACAAUGGGCGAAAGCCUGAUGCAGCUAUGCCGCGUGUAUGAAGAAGGCCUUAGGGUUGUAAAGUACUUUCAUCGGGGAGGAAAAAACAAAACUAAUAAUUUUAUUUCUUGACGUUACCCGAAAAAGAAGCACCGGCUAACUCCGUGCCAGCAGCCGCGGUAAUACGGAGGGUGCUAGCGUUAAUCAGAAUUACUGGGCGUAAAGAGCACGUAGGUGGUUUUUUUAAGUCAGAUGUGAAAUCCCUGGGCGUUAACCUAGGAACUGCAUUUUGAAACUGAAAUACUAGAGUAUCGUAGAGGGAGGUAGAAUUCUAGGUGUAGCGGUGAAAUGCGUAGAUAUCUGGAGGAAUACCUGUGGCGAAAGCGGCCUCCUAAACGAAUACUGACACUGAGGUGCGAAAGCGUGGGGAGCAAACAGGGAUUAGAUACC